GAGUUUGAUCGUGGCUCAGAUUGAACGCUGGCGGCGUGCUUAACACAUGCAAGUCGAGCGGUAACGCGGGGGGCAACCCUGGCGACGAGCGGCGAACGGGUGAGUAAUGCUUCGGAAUCUUCCUCGUAGUGGGGAAUAACCUGGGGAAACUCAGGCUAAUACCGCAUACGAACUACGGUUGAAAGCGGGGGAUCGCAAGACCUCGCGCUAUGAGAUGAGCCGAAGUCGGAUUAGCUAGUUGGUGAGGUAACGGCUCACCAAGGCGACGAUCCGUAGCUGGUCUGAGAGGACGACCAGCCACACUGGGACUGAGACACGGCCCAGACUCCUACGGGAGGCAGCAGUGGGGAAUAUUGGACAAUGGGGGCAACCCUGAUCCAGCGACGCCGCGUGUGUGAAGAAGGCCUGCGGGUUGU
rnacentral:rRNA from 1 species